rnacentral:ribozyme from 16 species
UUUUUUUUUUUUUUUUUUUUUUUUUUUUUUUUUUCACUACUUCGCAAUAUUUUUAGA